rnacentral:rRNA from 1 species
UGGGGAAUUUUGCGCAAUGGGCGAAAGCCUGACGCAGCGACGCCGCGUGGGUGAUGAAGGCCUUCGGGUUGUAAAGCCCUGUGGGGAGGGAAGAAUAAAGCGAGGCGAAUAGGCUCGUGGAUGACGGUACCUCCUUAGCAAGCACCGGCUAACUCUGUGCCAGCAGCCGCGGUAAGACAGAGGGUGCAAACGUUGUUCGGAAUUACUGGGCGUAAAGCGCGUGUAGGCGGCAACGCAAGUCGGGUGUGAAAGCCCUGGGCUCAACCUAGGAAGUGCACUCGAAACUGCGUUGCUUGAGUCUCGGAGAGGAUGGUGGAAUUCUCGGUGUAGAGGUGAAAUUCGUAGAUAUCGAGAGGAACACCCGUGGCGAAGGCGGCCAUCUGGACGAAGACUGACGCUGAGACGCGAAAGCAUGGGGAGCAAACAGG